rnacentral:rRNA from 1 species
UGGGGAAUAUUGCACAAUGGGCGCAAGCCUGAUGCAGCCAUGCCGCGUGUAUGAAGAAGGCCUUCGGGUUGUAAAGUACUUUCAGUCGGGAGGAAGGUGGUAAGGUUAAUAACCUUAUCAAUUGACGUUACCGACAGAAGAAGCACCGGCUAACUCCGUGCCAGCAGCCGCGGUAAUACGGAGGGUGCAAGCGUUAAUCGGAAUUACUGGGCGUAAAGCGCACGCAGGCGGUUGAUUGAGUCAGAUGUGAAAUCCCCGGGCUUAACCCGGGAAGUGCAUCUGAUACUGGUCAGCUAGAGUUUUGGAGAGGGGGGUAGAAUUCCAUGUGUAGCGGUGAAAUGCGUAGAGAUGUGGAGGAAUACCGGUGGCGAAGGCGGCCCCCUGGACAAAGACUGACGCUCAGGUGCGAAAGCGUGGGGAGCAAACAGG